UUGGAUCCUCCAGAUGCUGGAGGAUCUGGUUUCUGAUGGCAUCCCUGUGCCCAGUGAUGGAGCUACAUUUCUGGUGCGCUGAAGCCUGAAUGGCUUCACAAAAGGCAGUGAGAUCUGGACUGGACAUGCGUGGGAAUGUUUGGUCCAGCCAGUCAAAACUUCCUCUUCCUCCUGACUGGAGCAUCUUUCCUCUUGCAUGUGACCAGAGGUGGGCACGGUCUUACCUGUCCAGGUAACAAAAGGACAAAGCAUGCUGCCACCCUCUAUCAUUUCCCCCCCGCUUCCUUCAUCGUUUGCCCAGCUUCUUAUCUUGGAGUGACCUGAUAGCUUCUCAGCUAGCAGAAGCACUGGGUUUGCCUCCUCAUGGGGUAGAUCCACAUGUAUAUAUUUGUAACUAAGUCUGCCUUCAUGAAUCCGACUGUGAACUGAUGUGAGUAAACUUCUUUUAUUGACUUUGAAUAAGAUUGCUGUGUGUUUAUUCUUUCAAGAGGGACUAAAGGGAAUUUACCAGGAACUAUCAAAACCUCUCCAUUCUGAAGGAAAUCAGCCCUGAGUGCUCACUGGAAGGACAGAUCCUGAAGCUGAGGCUCCAAUACUUUGGCCGCCUCAUGAGAAGAGAAGACUCCCUGGAAAAGACCAUGAUGUUGGGAAAGAUGGAGGGCACAAGGAGAAGGGGACGCCAGAGGACCAGAUGGUGGGACAGUGUUCUGGAAGCUACCAGCAUGAGGGAGGCAGCGGAAGACAGGAGGGCCUGGCGUGCUCUGGUCCAGGGGGUCAUGAAGAGGCGGACACGACUAAAUGACUAAACAACAACAACAACAACAACCAGGAACUAUACAAUUCAAUCUGAGACAGACUGAAUUGUAUAAUAGUGAGAGGCUCACACGAGCCUGCAACCAGCUAUCUGCUGUGCGUGAGAAGGGGAAUGUAAACUCUGCUAAGU